rnacentral:rRNA from 1 species
AUUGUACGCUGGCGGCAGGCUUAACACAUGCAAGUCGAGCGGAGUGAUGGUGCUUGCACUAUCACUUAGCGGCGGACGGGAGAGUAAUGCUUAGGAAUCUGCCAUUUAGUGGGGGACAACAUUCCGAAAGGAAUGCUAAUACCGCAUACGUCCUACGGGAGAAAGCAGGGGAUCUUCGGACCUUGCGCUAAAUGAUGAGCCUAAGUCGGAUUAGCUAGUUGGUGGGGUAAAGGCCUACCAAGGCGACGAUCUGUAGCGGGUCUGAGAGGAUGAUCCGCCACACUGGGACUGAGACACGGCCCAGACUCCUACGGGAGGCAGCAGUGGGGAAUAUUGGACAAUGGGCGGAAGCCUGAUCCAGCCAUGCCGCGUGUGUGAAGAAGGCCUUUUGGUUGUAAAGCACUUUAAGCGAGGAGGAGGCUCUCCUAGUUAAUACCUAGGAUGAGUGGACGUUACUCGCAGAAUAAGCACCGGCUAACUCUGUGCCAGCCGCCGCAGUAACAC